rnacentral:pre_miRNA from 1 species
CGGGGGAGGCCGGAUCCUGGGCUGUGUCCCGGCGCCCUGUGCUCCCGGCCUGCGCUGUUGGAUUCGCACUCCCGCCCCGCAGCCCCCC